UACGUAGGGUGCAAGCGUUACUCGGAAUUACUGGGCGUAAAGCGUGCGUAGGUGGUUUGUUAAGUCUGAUGUGAAAGCCCUGGGCUCAACCUGGGAACUGCAUUGGAAACUGGCUUACUAGAGUGCGGUAGAGGGGUGUGGAAUUCCCGGUGUAGCAGUGAAAUGCGUAGAUAUCGGGAGGAACAUCUGUGGCGAAGGCGACACGCUGGAUCAGCACUGACACUGAGGCACGAAAGCGUGGGGAGCAAACAGG
rnacentral:rRNA from 1 species